UACGGAGGGGGCGAGCGUUAUUCGGAAUUAUUGGGCGUAAAGGGCGCGUAGGCGGCUGUACAAGUCAAAGGUGAAAUCCCUCGGCUCAACUGAGGAACUGCCUUUGAAACUGUACGGCUUGAGGCCGGGAGGGGGUAGCGGAAUUCCCAGUGUAGCGGUGAAAUGCGUAGAUAUCGGAAGGAACGCCGGUGGCGAAAGCGACGUGCUGGACCUCUUCUGACGCUGAGGCGCGAAAGCCAGGGGAGCAAACGGG
rnacentral:rRNA from 1 species